rnacentral:lncRNA from 1 species
AAAGGCAUGUUGUCGUGGCCUUCGGCAAGGAGGCCUCGGCUUAGUUGUUCACGCCAAAAACCCUCUUUGCCGUGGCCCGUGGGCCUUCUCUCGACUUAAUUUGCUGAAGGCAAAAACGUGUGCCUCCGGCCAAAAAAACUGAACGGGAGCGUAAGGUGAGUAAGAGUCUUUGCCGAAGGCUAAUCGAUACUGAUCAAGCUAGACAGGUCGAGGAAUGCACCGUAGCUGCUCUCGUUUUAUUUGAUUGUCACUUAUAUAGUGUACAAGUACAUCAUUCGCACAGAUACCUUCCGCAAAGAAUUACUGGAAAAAAGAAAUAAAAAAGGACGACGUCGCGUUCGCGUGCCCCUGCCGCCGAGCAGGACGAGGCCGGCGCGCUCCACCACGUCUGCGGUCGCCCGCACGCUCCACCACGAGAUGCGCGCCGCCGAGAAGGACGAGGAAGGAGACGCGGGCUUGGCGGGGCUGCGGAGGCAGGCGGCGCGGGCGGGGGAGCCAGAGGCAGGCGGCAA